rnacentral:lncRNA from 1 species
CACCCUGUGUCUCACUGUGCCCAGCGUACCGGACGCCCUCCCCUCCUCCAGCACCCCGGUCCCUUCCGCCUCGGGGCCUUUCCUCAGCUCCUCUGUCAGCUUCCGUCUCAGCAUGGGGGAGACUCCCUGAUGACUCCCCCUAAAGUGGCCACCACUCUCUGGACCGGCUGUGUGGCAUCCCUACUGCCCUAAAGGACCACUGUCAGCUGUUCUUGUGAGUCCAACAGGAGGAAGUAGAGUGGAAUUUUUCCUGUUUGCCCAGAAUUGCAUAUUAGGCCCAAGCUCAGGGCAGAAACGCAGAGUUCCUUCCUGUGAUCCAAGGCUGGGAGCCGUGGCCCCGGGCAGCCCUGCCCGCAGACUGAUGGACAGGCACCCCCAGUGGCCUGCCCUGCCCCUCUGCAGUGAACUUGAGACUGGGGGUGGGGUGGCCCCAGGGCGAGUGCAGAGUUUGUGAUUAGAAUUCGUUCCCUCCCUCACCUUCCUGAGGCCAAGGGAAAGGUUUUCCAGGGCCCCUGCUGGCCAGGAAGAGUGGCCACCUGCCCCGGGCUGCCGCAGGGCUAGAGGGAGAGAGUGGGUUGUGCCUGUCCCCACGCCCGGCCAGCGCGCCAGGCGGAGAACUCGACCCACAGGCGCAGUGGGGGCUCAGGGCCCAAGCCAGGCUUGUGUUCUUGGGCUCUGUUUUAGAGACAUCUGCGUUCAGGGAGGAGGUACGGCUUUCCUGAGGCCAGCCCAGCCAGUGGCAGGACAAACUCCAGCCCGGCCCAGUGGCUUCAGACUGGCUCGCUCCCCGCUGGAGCUCCAGCCAGCCUCUACGACUGCCCACCGGGUGAGGGUGGGAGCACGGCUGCCUUCCUGGGCCCGGCCCCUCUGUUGGGUGCUGGGCGCUGCGAGAGCAGAUAAAUGUUCUUGAUGCAAGCAAAACAGGAAUGCUCUGAUCAUUUACCGAAGAUCACUGAGGCAAACAAACCUUUGUGAGAUCUCCAGACAGUGUACCAUCCCAGGCAGAAAGGUUAGUCUGAGGUGCGUGUUUAGUACUUCUGUGCUGAGGACAGUAGCCUCUGGCAAAACAGACAUCAGACUGUGGUAGACUUCCGAGCGCUAGACUUCCAUCUCUCUGUCCCCGUGCAGCUGGAGUUUCAAAUAGCACCUGUUACCCGUUUUUUAAAAAAAUGUCUACAGGAGUCUCAAUAGAUGCCCAUAAUGGAGAAAGCUAAGUCGCUCAGUUGUGUCCGACUGUUUGCGACCCCGUGGAUGUAGCCCACCAGGCUCCUCCGUCCAUGGGAUUCUCCAGGCAAGAAUACUGGAGUGGGUUGCCAUUUCCUUCUCCAGGGGAUCUUCCCGACCCAGGGAUCGAACCCAGGUCUCCCGCAUUGCAGGCAGACGCUUUAACCUCUGAGCAACCAAGGAAGCCCACCCAUAAUGGAGAGAUGGUACCAAAUCCCCAAUACCUCCGGCUUAUUUGGUUCCAGAAAUUUCUGAUUCUGAAGCUGUGACACCUUCCGUUUAUUUCUCCACCCUCAUGCUGUCAACCCUGAUAAACCUUGAGGACAUUAUGAUCAGUGAAAUAAGCCAGACACUAAAGGACAGAUAUUGUAUGAUUCUACUAAUACUAGGUGCCCAAAGUGGUCGAAUUCAUAGAAAGCAGGGUGGUGGUUACCAGGGGCUGGAGGCUGGGAAUUGGGAGUUGGUGUUUAAUGGGUGCAGUUUCAUUUGGAGAGAUGAAAAAGUUCAGAUAUGAUGCUGAUGGUGGUGCAGCCUUGUGAAUGUUCUUAAUGCCACUGAACUGUACACUCACAAAUGUUUAAAAUGGUAACGUUUGUCAUGUAUAUUUUUAACAAUUAAACACAACAAUACAAUUCUGUAAAGCAAUUAUCCUUCAAUAAAAAAGUUAAAAACCACCGCCAUGUUAAGGUGCUUCCUCAAGACACACACAGAUUUCACCUUACAGUUCUUUCCACUCAGUAUUUCUAAAGUAUUGCUUG